rnacentral:lncRNA from 1 species
UUGCAAAGGAGACUUGUGUUUUUUAGAACUUACGCUACCGUUUGGUUCGGGAUUAAAAAAAAACUCGUUAUUUUAGGGAUAGGGUUAAGUUCAGGAUUAAGAUGGGGUUAAAGUAUUUUUGUGUUUGGUUGGGAGUUGAAGUUAGUUCAGGAUAGUGAAAAAUAGUGUUUGAUUGGAGUAACUGAGAUAAGAAGGAUAGUAUAUUAUUAUGAAUAGAAAAUAAUAUUUGGUUGGAGUUUGGUGGGGUUAGGUAGAAAUAGCUAACUCAGGAUAACCCAUUUGAGAUAGGAAUAGCUAUCUAACCCUACCCAUUUUUGAGAGUGUUUAGAAAUAAUAUGAGGGUUAAGGGGUUAUUCCACCCUUAACCCCCAACCAAAGAUUGAUUAACGAGUUGGAUAGUUACAAUGUUUUUAUGUCGCAUUUCGUUGUCUUAACUAAGAAUGAGAGAAUGGAUCGAGAUAAUAUCUGAUCAUAUUCGGAUCCACAUUCAAUCAGAUUCAAAUGGUAAGUUUAUAUGAAGUACACACCUCGAACAAACAGCGGGACUACAUGUGUGUGUCUAACACACGCACGCACGCGCGCGCGCACACACAUAUACCUCUCAUGCAUUUGUCUCGGGAAACUACUAAUAUAAGAAUAAGCCGCAAGGCAAAUUCUCAAAAAUAAAACACAUAUGUUACAAUAUUUUCAAUAACACUACUUAAACAACAGUUAUGCAGAUUUAUGACUCCCCAACUUAAGCAAAUGAUAGUUUUCUUAAUAUACAUAAAUAUGUAGGAAUAAAUAAAUAUGUAUGCAGUAAAAUAUGUGAACUUAAUUGGAGACUUUAGUUUCUGUCUAGUUUAGCCGGCCAACAUGACUUGCUGACAAAAAUGUAUUUAUUUAAUAUUUUUAUUAAAAAAUAUAUAUUACCCUUGUUUGAUUUGACUCUCAAAUUUCUUUCUUAGUGUAGGAAUUUGGACCAGCAAAAAAAAAGGAUAGUAAUUAAAAUUUAAUCAAAAUAUUUUUAGCAAGAAUUUAAGUAUUUUGAUACGGGGUCGUGCCGGAAACUUGUCGGCACGGCACUGCACCGUGCGUGCCGGAUUGUGCUGAUUCGUGUCGAUAAAAAAAAAUAUAUGUGUGCCGACACAUAAUGAUAUGGAAUAUUUAUUUUCUUUAGCAACAAAUUAUAUCAAUUAUUUAUUAUAUAUUUUUAUCAAAUUUUUUGAAUGUUAUUGAGAUAAUUACUUACUAAUUUUAAAAAUAGAGGAUUUUAAGUUGUGCCAUCGACACAGGACUGUAUCGUGUCGAUAUCUUGCUGGCACGAUACGGCACGAUGGAUACAGUUCAUACUGAUGGACACUUUAAUUAAUCCUUGAUUUUUAAUACUUUUAUUUGGGUUGAUGUAGUCACAAAAUUUAUACACACCGUCGUUGAGUUGGUAGGUUUCCUCAUUGCUAAACGCGUAGGUCGCGAUUCAAAGUCUUUCUGACAGAGAAAUAUAUACAUGUGUGCACACAAAAAUAGACAAAUAUAUUCGAAAAAGAAAAAGUCAUCAAAGCCCGGUAAUUAUUUUCUAAAAAACUAUAAUUUGACCCGGUAAUUAAUUAGGAUUUUUGUUUUUUCUGAACCUGUUGGUAUCAAGAGGUUGCUAUCUAAUAUUAUCAUAGAAAAACAACAUUGAAGCAAAAACGUAUGGAGAUAUGCUUCUUAUUUCUCAUUGAAACGAUAAAAUCAUAUAGUAAAACGAAUGAUUCCUAUCUACGCGACGCGAUAUGUUUUACGAAAAAAAAUAAAUUAAGAAUUUGCAAUUUUUGCAAAAACUUAAAACUAGUAAAUUUUUUAUAUAAAUUGGCCUUUUUUUUCAGAUCAAACGGCAAAAAAUGAUAUAAAAAUUAUUGUAAGUUAAGGAUUUGCAACUUUCUAGUUUAAUUAUUUUUAUUCGUAGAUUAUUCGAGACCUAAUAAUUUUUGUUUACUUUUUUGUGCUUCAUAAAAUUGAAAUGCUUUGUAAAUUAAGUCAAGUUGACAAAAACAAUCUUAAACCUCGAAUAUAGUCAACAACAAUCCGUUAUGACCGAACGCAAUGCCUGGUCAACACGUCCGCUUUGGUCAAAAAAGAGGCGCUGCCACAACAUCACCUCACACAUAGUCAACAAACGACUACAAUCAACCUGUUCUACCUCGUAAUUUUGAUUUUUGACAUUGACAUGUAUUCGGAUGGGGUCGGGUCGGAUUGGGUCGGGUUGGGUUUGGUCGUGUUUUGAUUUGGUUCGACGGUUAGGUUCAGGUUCGUGCCCAGUUGGUCAAAAUAGAGACACUAGCACAUCAUCACGUCGCAUAUGGUCAACAAACAACUACAAUCAACCUAUUCUACCUCGUAAUUUUGACAUUGACAUGUAUUCUAUGGGGUGGGGUCGAGUCGGGUCUGGUUGGGUCUGAUCAUGUUUUGGAUUUGGUUCGACGGUUAGGUUCAUGCCUGGUUGUAUGCGCCUAAUGGCUCUCACCUAUAGUUUGAAGUGGGCUAGGCUGAGUUGAGUCACAAUUGUUCUAAAAAAACUUCAUUUUGAGUUAUACAAACGGAUCUAUAGUUAGCAACGGGAGAAAAAUGGUCUAUAUUAUAUUUUUCUGGAUCUGUGUAAAACUUUUUUUUUUAUUAUUGUUUAUUUGUAGAGCUGUGAAAUUGAAAUUUUUUAGUGUUACUAUUUGUACUGUAAAAAAUAAAUGACUUAGAGGUUGAAGAUGUGGGAGAAGAAUUAAUAUGAGUAUUUUACUUCGGUACAAUCUAUAUCUAUACUUAUACAUUUAUUUUUAUGGCUAAAUCCUACGUGUACCCAUUCCUUUAAUUUGGGUAAGAGUGAGGCCUUUUUUUUUUUUCAUUUUUUUUUAGAUUUGCUAAGGGCUAAGAGUUUUUUUUUUUUUUUUUACCCUUUUCAUUCACUUUUAGAUCUUCCACUCACUUCUUUAAUUUGGGAAAGUGUGGGGCUAUUUAAUUAUUAUGUUAUAGAAAUAAUUUUAAUUAUUAUUUGCAUGAUAUGCGACUUCUCUUGAAUAUGGCUAAAUAGUUUUGUUUAAACGAGUAAUUCUUUUUCAUUAUAAUUUUAUUUUUUAAAAGUGUUAGUCUAUAAUAUAGACUAUAUUUAUUAUUUUUUAUAAUAAGCUGAUAUUUUAUUAUUACAAAUUUUUAAUUUAAUAUAUUUAUUCCUCGUAACGUAACGUCCAGAUUACUACACUAGUUCAGAAUUAUGCCAUUCGAUCGGACCCAUAACAGUUGCCACAAGUAAUUAAACCAAAUUACCUUUUCAUGGGCAUUCUUAAAUGGGCCACCAGUCAUUUUAAUUGCACUUUCUAUUUGUUACAGAGAGAGAUGUAAAAUGGGUUGGGCGGCUUGUGGGCCUACUCGACGGACUGGUACGGCAUUGAACCACAAUUAUGAUACCACUGGAGCAGACUCGCAUCGGCACGGUCCGACACAUUUUCUUUUCUCAAUUUCAAAUUUCAAAAAGCAAAAAUUGGGUCAGUUCAUAACCCGGCGUUGUAGACACAACUUUGAUCGACAUGUGCUAGGGGCUGCGUCGAACCACCUGACCAAAGAGGGCGACCUAGCACGGCACGAUCCGAGUCCCGGGUUGUGCAAUGCCGGACCGCCUCCCAGCCUAUUUCAUCAUGGAAAAAAAUGCUAGAGUCGUGUCGUGUCGUGUCAUGCCCGGCUCAUAUUAUGCCACUAAGUAUAAAUUGUAAAAGUCUGUUUACUUACUCGUAACUGAUUUUCAUAUUAAAUAUAAUUUUUAAUUGACCCGAGUUCAAAUAAAUAUUACUUUUCAGUGUUUUUUUUUUUUCCUAGAAAGUCAAUAACCUUAAAAGGUUACUUAAUUUUUUUAAAAAAUUUUAUCAAGAAACUUUAUAUUAACAUAUAAGAUCAAAUGAAUUGCAACACUUAAUAUUUUAUUAUCUUUUUCGAUCUCUUUCUCUUCUGUAGUUGACUUCACCACCAUCCAACAUGAAGUCAAUUACGAUAAUUCAAAAAAUAAAAUUAUAGACAAAUUUAGUUUACAGCAAACUAAAUAACAAAAAUUAGCAUUUUUCUCCCCACUCUAAUUUUUCCAAAGAAACAUGUCCUAAAUAAAAGCAGAUAUCAUGGAUUCACAGGAGACAAAAAAAGAGUAAUCAAUAGCAAUUUAGGGAGGUGAAAUUUUCAAAUUUCCUCAGCACUUUUCUCACUCAAAUUUGUGGAAAAUAAUAUAGAAGCAAGGAUUUAAGUAUUGUGGCAAUGAGUUGCCGAAAACUUGUCGAUAUGGUAUGGCACGCAUGUCAAAAUAUGUCGAUGCGUGCAGGUCAAAAAAAUACAUGUAUGCCAACACAUAAUAAUAUAAAAUAUUUAUUUUUUAGUAAUAAAAUAUUCUAAUUGUUUAUUAUGUAAUUUUAUUAAUUCUCAAGUCUUUAACUUCACCAAAAAAAAUUACGUACUAAUAUAAAUACAAGAGAAUUUUAAGUUGUGUCAUCGGCACGAGACUGUAUCGUGUCGAUAUCUUAUUAGAACGAUAAAAUACGAUGAAUACUUGCCGUGCCGAUUGGCAUUUAAAUCCUUAUAUAAGAAUCAAACUAUCCUUGAGACUCCCCCAACAGGAACUCAAACCCACAUAGUCACAUAGUAUAUUCCAAGAAUUUAUCAUAGAAAUGUUCUUAGGGAGGGUGGGUUGUAUUUGUUGUCAACUUUAUACUUAGGAUCUUAGGUAGGUUAGUUAAUACCCCUAACAUCUUUAGUACCUAUUAUUAUUUUAUCCUCUCCCCUUUAGCCUCCAUUUAUGUAUUCUUUGGUAAAUAUAGCUCCACAUGGUUGCAAUUUUAGCAAAUGAUGCUCUAAGUGAUCAUGGAUUAUGUAGCUCUUGGUGUCUUUAACAAUCAUUCCCCACAAAACCUACUAAUUGAUCUCAAUAUUGUAGGCUAAGUGGAGCCAUUUCUUUGUCAAAGUUAUCUAAUCACCUUUUCUGAAUUUGCCUAACCCACCACUCCUCCUUUAGGGUCAAAGGCGGCUGCGAUCGUUGUCCGUCGGAUCUCCAUCAUAUUCUGAUCAUGAUUGUUUCUCCUUGAUUCCUUCGCGUGCAUCAAGCGAAUGUCGAGACAAAGAAGGACAGGCCAGACGGCCUUUUAAAUGUCGUUAACGACCAUAAGCUACUAACUAAAGAUGUAGAUUACUUCUAAUUUUUUCCCACUAAUCGCAUGCUUUUUCGCUUUCUCUCUUUUCCUUCUUGAGCAUAUUAUUCUUCUUUUCCUCGGCCUUAGUUCAUCGAAUUGAAUAGCGGAUUCAAAAAAAUACUGUAGUACAAUAUCUAGACGUGUUGAAAAGAUCCUUGAGGGGCCUAAAAAUAUAAUUGCUGCGCUUUUGUUAUUUGGUAAUUCUUGUCAAUGGUUGAUCAAAUUUUUCUGAGUAGAAUUUCUUUCACAGUACUAACAACUCCUAACAACGAUUUUGAUUUUUGAUAGUGACGGUGUAUGGGAUGGCGAUGAUGAUAGAUAGAGGUUUAGUUAUCCAGUGGAAGAGAAUGAUUGAUUUCAAUAACAUAUAUUUGAAUUCGAAAUGAUCCCUUAAUUCUCUCCAUUGAAUUCAAAUUCGAAUACUCCUUGAUCUCCUCCUUGAGGGGUGCUAUGACCCUUGAUUUUCUAUACAUUUUGAGCCACAUCAUUUGAAUUCAAAUGGCACUGAUAUUCUCCUUAAUUUAUGACAUAGUUAAUACUUUUCUCCUUAAUUUUCUCCAUUCAAAUUUGAAGCUGAAAUUGGUAGGGCAAGCACCAUGUGAGACUCAUGUGGCUAAUUUGGGCUUGACCUGAGUAGAUUUAGAUGGGACUAUACUAACCCUUGUUUGGUUGGGGUUAAGGAGUGGAAUAACCCAUUAACCCCAUGUUUAUUCCCAAACACCAACUAAAUAGGGUGGGGUUAGUAAACCCGACCCCAAAUGGACUAUUCUGAAAUAGUCCAUUUGGGGUGGGGUUAGCUAACCCCACCCCACCCCACUACUCCAACCAAACAAAACAAUAUUUUAUCUACUAUCCUUCUUAUCUCAUCUACUCUAACCAAAUAUUAUUUUUCACUAUUUUGGACUAAUUUCAACUCCCAACCAAACACAAAAAUACUCUAAUCCGACCGUAACUCUGAACUUAAUCCUAUCUCUGCAAUAACUAGUUUUUUCUUAACUCCGAACCAAACGGUAGUAGCAUUAGUGGCAUAAAGUCUAUGGGUCAUUCAGGGACGGUUUGGUUGCAUCUAAUUAUUACUAAAUUACAGUAAAUUUUAUGCAUAUUCAAUUACUAGUUGAGCAUACGUGCAACUGCACGUAAUAAUUAUUUUAAUUUAUUUUAAAUCAAUAAAGAUUUGUAAAUCAUAUUUAUUCAAAAAUUUAGAAUAAAAUAUUUUCUAAAUUUAUAUGUUACAUUUUAUUAGAAAAUAUCUACAAUAUCAAUUUUAAAUUUUAAUAUAAAAUAGAUGAAUAGAUUGAUAUCAAAAAAAUCAAAAUUUUAAUUUAAUUUAUAAUUUAAACUCAAAUUUAAAUUUUAAUGUAAAAUAAAUGGAUAGAAGUGCUACUUUUUAACAGAUUGAACAUAAAUUUGUAUAUCAUAUUAAUUCAAAAAUAUGAUUUACAAAUUUAUCAACCAAUCUAUCUUUUAAAUUAUUUUCAUUGUAAUAUAUAGAUACUCCCAAAAUUUUAAAUUUUAAAUUAAUUUUAUAUUUUGAAUUGAAAUAUAGAUUUACAGUAGAUAUUUUAGCAAAAAUUUGAAUUAGCAUGAUUUUUUUUUAUUUUAGAGAUAAAAAAAAUAAAUAAAAUUUUAAUUAAAAUAUAGAUUCACAGUAAAUAUCUUUCGGUUGGCAAAAAUUUGGAUAAGUGUAUUUUUUUUCUAUUUUAGAGAUAAACAGAAAUUAAAAGUUUGUUUCAUUACGUUAUUUAUUUUACGUAAGGAAAGAGGAAAUAAUAUUUUUUCUCG